rnacentral:rRNA from 1 species
AUGCCUUCUUCUCACUCCCUCUCUGUCCAGCGAGGGACCAUGCGCAACACUCCCACUCCUCAAUGGUCGAGGCCGCAUCAACGCCUCCCCCCGCAACCCAAAUCUUCCGAGCCUCCCGAGAUCCUCCUCCUUCCACCUCUGCAAACCUCUAUUCUUCAGGAUCACCCGAUCCAAGCAGCUCCAGAGCUCCUCCACAUAAGCUGCAGCGCCGAGAGCCCGAGCGCGCCCGAGACCAGCAGCUCUGACCCCGCGCCGCCCUGUUCCGUCCAUCUUCCUCUUUCUCGCUUACUCUCUUCCUCAAGAGAUGGUAUUUUCGAUCCCCAAUCCCCGCCGGUCUUCCACGUCCGCCGCGUCAACUUCCUCAAGUCGCCACAUGCUCCCCUGUUGAGCCACAUCGCCGCCUCCGGCGGUACCCCUGGCCUAAGCGGCGCUGCCCCCGGCCUCCUUCCUCCUCUACUGGCGCCGCCUGCUCGCCUUUGUGCCGCCGACCUUCUCCUCCGACCUCCUGCAGUCCUGCUAUGCCCGAGCUCCGCCCCUUUCCGAUCCCGCCGUGGAAAGAAGAAGGAGAGGAGGGCAUGGCGGCGCGUUGGUCCGGUACCGGAGCUCCGGUGGGCGGCGGCGCGGGGCGGCAGGGAGGCACGGGCGCGAGCCGCCCGCGCGUGGAGGCGCUGGUUGCGGUCGGCGGCGGCGGACACGGGCAAAUGCGGCAGGGUGUUUUUUGUCAAAACGAUUUUAUCAGAUCCACUUAAACAGGACUGCGGGUUUAUUUCAAAGUAA